rnacentral:rRNA from 1 species
AUUGAACGCUGGCGGCGUGCUUAACACAUGCAAGUCGUGCGGUAACAGGCGUAGCAAUACGUGCUGACGAGCGGCGAACGGGUGCGUAAUACAUGGGAAUCUGCCCUUUAGUGGGGAAUAACCCGGCGAAAGCCGGGCUAAUGCCGCAUAAGAUCUUCGGAUGAAAGCGGGGGAUCGUAAGACCUCGCGCUGAUGGAUGAGCCCAUGUCGGAUUAGCAGUUGGUGAGGUAACGGCUCACCAAGGCGACGAUCCGUAGCUGGUCUGAGAGGACGGCCAGCCACACUGGGACUGAGACACGGCCCAGACUCCUACGGGAGGCAGCGAGUGGGGAAUAUUGGACAAUGGGCGAAAGCCUGAUCCAGCGACGCCGCGUGUGUGAAGAAGGCCUGC